rnacentral:misc_RNA from 1 species
CCUCCAUGAGUCAUGAGGCAGGUGGAAGCCAAAUUCAGCAUGAAGGCUUGCCUUAUUAAUCCACACUCUUUGGCCGUGAUUUGAACGUGUUAUUAGAGCAGUAAGGCCUAAUGGCCAAAGAUCUGGGACUUAAAAGCAUGGUGGCUUGAGCCAAGCUAAUCGAGCUCGACUAAAGUAGACCCAUGGGCUAGCCUAGCGAGCUAGACUUGAGGGUAAAGUUACCAGCCUAGCGAGCUAGACUUGAGGGUAAAGUUACC